rnacentral:rRNA from 1 species
UACAGAGGUCUCAAGCGUUGUUCGGAUUCAUUGGGCGUAAAGGGCGCGUAGGCGGCCUGCUAAGUCGAACGUGAAAUCCCCGGGCUCAACCCGGGAACUGCGUCCGAUACUGGUAGGCUUGAAUUCGGGAGAGGGAUGCGGAAUUCCAGGUGUAGCGGUGAAAUGCGUAGAUAUCUGGAGGAACACCGGUGGCGAAGGCGGCAUCCUGGACCGACAUUGACGCUGAGGCGCGAAAGCCAGGGGAGCAAACGGG